rnacentral:rRNA from 1 species
CCUACGGGUGGCUGCAGUGAGGAAUAUUGGUCAAUGGGCGAGAGCCUGAACCAGCCAAGUCGCGUGAGGGAAGACGGUCCUAUGGAUUGUAAACCUCUUUUGCCGGGGAGCAAAAAGCGGUACGUGUACCGCAUCGCGAGUACCCGGAGAAAAAGCAUCGGCUAACUCCGUGCCAGCAGCCGCGGUAAUACGGAGGAUGCGAGCGUUAUCCGGCUUUAUUGGGUUUAAAGGGUGCGCAGGCGGCGAGUUAAGUCAGCGGUAAAAUUUCGGGGCUCAACCCCGACGAGCCGUUGAAACUGGCGUGCUAGAGUGGGCGAGAAGUACGCGGAAUGCGCGGUGUAGCGGUGAAAUGCAUAGAGAUCGCGAAGAACUCCGAUUGCGAAGGCAGCGUACCGGCGCCAGACUGACGCUGAGGCACGAAAGCGUGGGGAUCGAACAGGAUUAGAUACCCCUGUAGUC